rnacentral:rRNA from 1 species
GUGCCAGCAGGCCGCGGUAAUACGGAGGGUGCAAGCGUUACUCGGAACCACUGGGCGUAAAGAGCGUGUAGGCGGGUAUAUAAGUCAGAAGUGAAAUCCAAUAGCUUAACUAUUGAACUGCUUUUGAAACUGUAUACCUAGAAUGUGGGAGAGGUAGAUGGAAUUUCUGGUGUAGGGGUAAAAUCCGUAGAGAUCAGAAGGAAUACCGAUUGCGAAGGCGAUCUACUGGAACAUUAUUGACGCUGAGACGCGAAAGCGUGGGGAGCAAACAGGAUUAGAUACCCUGGUAGUCCACGCCCUAAACGAUGUACACUAGUUGUUGUGAGGCUCGACCUUGCAGUAAUGCAGUUAACACAUUAAGUGUACCGCCUGGGGAGUACGGUCGCAAGAUUAAAACUCAAAGGAAUAGACGGGGACCCGCACAAGCGGUGGAGCAUGUGGUUUAAUUCGACGAUACACGAAGAACCUUACCUGGACUUGACAUAGUAAGAACUUUCUAGAGAUAGAUUGGUGUCUGCCUGCAGAAACUUAUAUACAGGUGCUGCACGGCUGUCGUCAGCUCGUGUCGUGAGAUGUUGGGUUAAGUCCCGCAACGAGCGCAACCCUCGUCAUUAGUUGCUAACAGUUCGGCUGAGAACUCUAAUGAGACUGCCUACGCAGUAGAGAGUGAGGACGACGUCAGUCAUCAUGGCCCUUACGUCAGGGCUACCACGUGCUACAUGGGUAUACAAGAGCAGCAUACGGUGACGGGAGCAAUCUCAAAAUAUCUCCAGUCGAUUGA